rnacentral:rRNA from 1 species
AUUGAACGCUGGCGGCAGGCCUAACACAUGCAAGUCGAACGAGUGGCGGACGGGUGAGUAAUGUCUGGGAAACUGCCCGAUGGAGGGGGAUAACUACUGGAAAAGGUAGCUAAUACCGCAUACUAUCGGAUGAACCCAUAUGGGAUUAGCUAGUAGGUGGGGGAAAGGAUCGCCUAGGCGACGAUCUCGAGCUGGUCUGAGAGGAUGAUCAGCCACACUGGGACUGAGACACGGCCCAGACGCCUACGGUGGGCAGCAGUGGGGAAUAUUGCACAAUGGGGGGAAGCCUGAUGCAGCCAUGCCGCGUGUAUGAAGAAGGCCUUAGGGUUGUAAAGUACUUUUAGCGGGGAGGCGUUACCCGCAGAAGAAGCACCGGCUAACUCCGUGCCAGCAGCCGCGGUAAUUC